rnacentral:rRNA from 1 species
AGCGAACGCUGGCGGCAGGCUUAACACAUGCAAGUCGAGCGGGCACUUUCGGGUGUCAGCGGCGGACGGGUGAGUAACGCGUGGGAACGUGCCCUCUGGUUCGGAAUAACUCAGGGAAACUUGAGCUAAUACCGGAUACGCCCUUUUGGGGAAAGGCUUGCUGCCGGAGGAUCGGCCCGCGUCUGAUUAGCUAGUUGGUGAGGUAACGGCGCACCAAGGCGACGAUCAGUAGCUGGUCUGAGAGGAUGAUCAGCCACACUGGGACUGAGACACGGCCCAGACUCCUACGGGAGGCAGCAGUGGGGAAUAUUGGACAAUGGGCGCAAGCCUGAUCCAGCCAUGCCGCGUGAGUGAUGAAGGCCUUAGGGUUGUAAAGCUCUUUUAUCCGGGACGAUAAUGACGGUACCGGAGGAAUAAGCCCCGGCUAACUUCGUG